GUUUGUUACAGUUGUGUUACAGUUACAGUAACGUAACUACUUUUUUGAGUAAAAAGUAGUGUAACGCGUUACUACUGAAAAUUUGGUAACGUAACGUAGUUCCUUUUUCGUAUCGGCGCAACGUUACUUUUCCCAG